UACGGGGGGGGCAAGCGUUGUUCGGAAUUACUGGGCGUAAAGGGCUCGUAGUCGGCCAACUAAGUCGGACGUGAAAUCCCCAGGCUCAACCUGGGAACUGCGUCCGAUACUGGAUGGCUUGAAUCCGGGAGAGGGAUGCAGAAUUCCAGGUGUAGCGGUGAAAUGCGUAGAUAUCUGGAGGAAUACCGGUGGCGAAGGCGGCAUCCUGGACCGGCAUUGACGCUGAGGAGCGAAAGCCAGGGGAGCAAACGGG
rnacentral:rRNA from 1 species